AACGAACGCUGGCGGCGUGCCUAACACAUGCAAGUCGAACGAGAAAGGGGCUUCGGCUCCGAGUAAAGUGGCGCACGGGUGAGUAACACGUAGGUAACCUGCCUCUAAGAUUGGGAUAACCUGUCGAAAGAUGAGCUAAUACCAAAUAAGACCACGGCUUCCUCGGAAGCAGGGGUCAAAGGUAGCCUCUACUUGUAAGCUAUCACUUAGAGAUGGGCCUGCGUACCAUUAGCAGUUGGUGGGGUAACGGCCUACCAAGGCCAAGAUGGUUAGCUGGUCUGAGAGGAUGAUCAGCCACACUGGAACUGAGACACGGUCCAGACUCCUACGGGAGGCAGCAGUGGGGAAUAUUGCGCAAUGGGCAAAGCCUGACGCAGCAACGCCGCGUGAGUGAUGAAGGCCU
rnacentral:rRNA from 1 species